rnacentral:rRNA from 1 species
GAUGAACGCUGGCGGCGUGCCUGAUACAUGCAAGUCGAGCGACUGGAUUAAGAGCUUGCUCUUAUGAAGUUAGCGGCGGACGGGUGAGUAACACGUGGGUAACCUGCCCAUAAGACUGGGAUAACUCCGGGAAACCGGGGCUAAUACCGGACAACAUUUUGAACCGCAUGGUUCGAAAUUGAAAGGCGACUUCGGCUGUCACUUAUGGAUGGACCCGCGUCGCAUUAGCUAGUUGGUGAGGUAACGGCUCACCAAGGCAACGAUGCGUAGCCGACCUGAGAGGGUGAUCGGCCACACUGGGACUGAGACACGGCCCAGACUCCUACGGGAGGCAGCAGUAGGGAAUCUUCCGCAAUGGACGAAAGUCCGACGGAGCAACGCCGCGUGAGUGAUGAAGGCUUUCGGGUCGUAAAACUCUGUUGUUAGGGAAGAACAAGUGCUAGUUGAAUAAGCUGACACCUUGACGGUACCUAACCAGAAAGCCACGGCUAACUACGUGCCAGCAGCCGCCGUAA